GUUUGCUUUGGCAGGACAUAUACUAUCACUGGAACGAUACAGAGAAGAUCAGCAGGGCCUGGCGCAAGGAUGACACGCAAAGUCGUGAAGCGUUCUAGAUUAAA